rnacentral:rRNA from 1 species
UACGUAGGUGGCAAGCGUUGUCCGGAUUUAUUGGGUUUAAAGGGUGCGUAGGCGGCUUUGUAAGUCAGCGGUGAAAUACUCUAGCUUAACUAGAGGGGUGCCAUUGAUACUGCGGAGCUUGGGUACAGAUGAGGUAGGCGGAAUUGACGGUGUAGCGGUGAAAUGCAUAGAUAUCGUCAAGAACACCGAUAGCGAAGGCAGCUUACUGGGCUGUAACUGACGCUGAUGCACGAAAAGUGUGGGGGAUCAAACAGG